rnacentral:rRNA from 1 species
UACGUAGGUGGCGAGCGUUGUCCGGAAUUACUGGGUGUAAAGGGCGUGUAGGCGGUUAUGUAAGUCGGAUGUGAAAGCCCAUGGCUUAACUGUGGGAUUGCAUCCGAAACUAUGUAUCUUGAGUGCUGGAGAGGGAAGCGGAAUUCCUAGUGUAGCGGUGAAAUGCGUAGAUAUUAGGAGGAACACCAGUGGCGAAGGCGGCUUUCUGGACAGUAACUGACGCUGAGGCGCGAAAGCGUGGGGAG